CGGGGAUGUAUGGUCACGUGUUUAAGAGCAUUCCCCGUCAACGCUGUCACGUUUCUCGUCUAUUCUCAGUCCAUGAAGUACAUGGAGUCGCGCUAAUUCUCGUGGAGAAGCGCCAUCUGGUGUCUAAACACUAAGGAAAGACCACUUUUCUUGGUCAAUUAAUGCAUUAUUUUAUCAAAGAAAGUGAAACUGUUUACAUGACGAAUAUGUACGAUUAAACCAAACAGUAUUAAUGAAAUUACAAACAAAUAGUUUAUGAACACAUUCACGUCCAUCCAUCUUUCUAGAAAUGUUCAUCUCUUCAAUAAUGUUCUCACGAAACUACUUUAAAAUAACAAAAAAUGGCACUGAUUAAACAUGUCUUUGAAAUAAAGAAGCAACUGCACAUGCUGCACGCAUUUUGACCACAGCAACAAAGCUAUUGCACUUGCAACACAGAAGCACGAUGGCGCGCUAUAAAUCCAGGGCGAAGGUUGUGGACCUCUUUGGGAGACCUUUGAAGGCCACGGACUUGGACUUGGGCCGGAACAUCAUCCCUGACUUCGUGUUCUCUCUGGACACCGCCAGAGGAGGAAGUCGCAGUGCACCUGCGCUGGUGAUGUCGUUGGUAUCCACCGUUGAUGGCCUCCUAGUUUUGAAGUACAGGGUCAUUCCUCUCUCUCUCCGAGGCGGGAAGGAGGGCCGGUUAAUGAUCGCCUCCAGCAUGCCCCUCGACUCUUUGAUGUUCAUGAUCCGCCCGUCGGUUUUCCCGUCAGACAGCAGUUUCUCUGUUUUCCUCAGGCGGCGGACCCUGGGGUGCUGGUUCUUGAUGAUGGUGUCGAUUUGUGGCUGUAGGUCCCUGAGGGAGGUCCCGCCGUAGACGCCGUACAUUCCACUCUCGUCGUCCAGGUCCGGCACCUGGUCCCGGAUCCGCUUCAGACAUCUCUGGGUGCCCUUUGUGUGGAUGUAGUACUGUUUGUGGGGCAUGGUCUUCUGCCACAUCUUGUAAUCAUAGCUCCGUUUGUCCCUGUCGAUCGCCUUACCGUACGUGCUGCACCUGUCCUUCAGUUUGUCGUUGUUGAUGGAGGUGGUCUUUCUCAGCCGGUGGGUCUGUUUACCAAUCAGUGACAAACGCUUGUCCUGGAGUUUGGGAAAGUUUUGGAUAUCCGCCAUGACUGUUGGCCGCGGACCUCAACAUUUGGGGUAAACUGUAAGAGGUGGAAUAAAACAAAACAUCUAUUCG
rnacentral:misc_RNA from 1 species